AACGAACGCUGGCGGCGUGGAUAAGACAUGCAAGUCGAACGGAAUUACUUUUGUAGCAAUACAGAAGUAAUUCAGUGGCGAACGGGUGCGUAACACGUGGGCAAUCUGCCGAGAAGUGGGGGAUAGCUCGCCGAAAGGCGAAUUAAUACCGCAUGUGGUGAGGGAAGACAUCUUCCUGAAUCCAAAGCCGGGGUAACCUGGCGCUUUUUGAGGAGCCCGCGGCCUAUCAGCUUGNGGUGAGGUAACGGCUCACCAAGGCUUUGACGGGUAGCUGGUCUGAGAGGACGACCAGUCACACUGGAACUGAGACACGGUCCAGACACCUACGGGUGGCAGCAGUCGAGAAUUUUUCUCAAUGGGGGAAACCCUGAAGGAGCGACGCCGCGUGGAGGAUGAAGGCUUUCGGGUUGUAAACUCCUGUCAUUUGAGAACAAGGUGC
rnacentral:rRNA from 1 species